AGCGAACGCUGGCGGCAGGCCUAACACAUGCAAGUCGAACGAACUCUUCGGAGUUAGUGGCGGACGGGUGAGUAACACGUGGGAACGUGCCUUUUGGUUCGGAAUAACUCAGGGAAACUUGUGCUAAUACCGAAUAUGCCCUUCGGGGGAAAGAUUUAUCGCCAUUAGAGCGGCCCGCGUCUGAUUAGCUAGUUGGUGAGGUAACGGCUCACCAAGGCGACGAUCAGUAGCUGGUCUGAGAGGAUGACCAGCCACACUGGGACUGAGACACGGCCCAGACUCCUACGGGAGGCAGCAGUGGGGAAUCUUGCGCAAUGGGCGAAAGCCUGACGCAGCCAUGCCGCGUGAAUGAUGAAGGUCUUAGGAUUGUAAAAUUCUUUCACCGGGGACGAUAAUGACGGUACCCGGAGAAGAAGCCCCGGCUAACUUUGUG
rnacentral:rRNA from 1 species